AGUGAACGCUGGCGGUAGGCCUAACACAUGCAAGUCGAACGGCAGCACAGUAAGAGCUUGCUCUUACGGGUGGCGAGUGGCGGACGGGUGAGGAAUACAUCGGAAUCUACUUUUUCGUGGGGGAUAACGUAGGGAAACUUACGCUAAUACCGCAUACGACCUACGGGUGAAAGCAGGGGAUCUUCGGACCUUGCGCGGUUGAAUGAGCCGAUGUCGGAUAGCUAGUUGGCGGGGUAAAGGCCCACCAAGGCGACGAUCCGUAGCUGGUCUGAGAGGAUGAUCGGCCACACUGGAACUGAGACACGGUCCAGACUCCUACGGGAGGCAGCAGUGGGGAAUAUGGGACAAUGGGCGCAAGCAUGAUCCAGCGAGACCGCGUGGGAGAAGAAGGCGUUCGGGUUGUAAAGACCUUUUGUUGGGAAAGAAAAGCAGCAGGUUAAUACCCCGCUGUUCUGACGGUAACCAAAGAAUAAGCACCGGCUAACUUCGUG
rnacentral:rRNA from 1 species